GGGAAGUACAAUUUCACAGGAAUGUUGACGAACAAGUGACAAACAACCCUGUUGAUUGGAAGUGGGAGAGGUUCGGUGUUUUUUUGUUUUGGCAUCGGAACCAAACUCAGUCCUUGGACAAACAUAAGCCAAGAAGGUCCGAUAUGGUCUCCAAGGCCUCAAAAUCCGAAUACCAGUAGCUGGAGGAAUUUGGCAGUCCUGAUAAAGUCUCCAAGUUUCGGAUUCAAGUCACACGCAGCGCCAUGAUCUCUCUCAUCAUAAUAAGUCAAAGGUCUGGAUUUAUCUAUCUCCAAGGGUCUGACGCGUGUAAAGGCGCUAAGGAUGAUGAAUGGUGUCUCAGUUUCCUGAAAAUGGUCCAGCUGAUUACAGAAUGCCUCAAGUUUUUGUAGAAAACAAUCACUGCCCAUUCAGGAUCGACCGAACGCCCAAUCCGAACCUCGACUUGUUGAUUUCCCCGAGGGCAAGUGAUGACAAAGGCACAAAUUGACGUGGAUUGUUCCCUCAAGGUGGUUGUUGUGUCUUAUCAAAUCUGGCCUUCAGGCUCCAUCCACAAUCCAUCCAUCCAUCCCUCUAUCCCUCCAUCCACCACCAGUCAGUCCACCACCCAUCUCCGAGCACUAUUCUCUUCCCCAUCCCACGUUCACGAAAGGUCACAAAUCGCGGAGAGGUCUUGAAAAUGGAGCCGGAGGGAUUUCAGCAAACUCUGGCUAAUUGAUGAUGCCGUCAAAUAUCGUUCGGUUGCAUUUUCCGGGUCACUGAUUGAUAUUCGGGCCCGUGGAUGCGCUGAAUUUAUCAACUGUUAUGUAUAACCCCUGAUCAAUUAUGGGCCCUGCAAACCUCUUUUUAGCCAAGUCAAAGUGGAUUGGCAACUCGGUCUGCGUGAUAUUGAACAGCUUCUGAUUGUGUCAGGAGCGUGUAAUAACGAGCACUUUCGAGAUGCCAUGAAUUCUAUCCAACAUUUUGAUUUCCUCCCCGACAUUCGUUGGAUCGUGAUGACAAGGUUGGCUACACUAAAUAGGGAUCGCAGGACCUUUUUUAACUUGUUGUAAACUCAACCAGCCGAAUUUUGAGUAUCCCUUUAUAAAUGGUGGUAUUCAAAGAACAUACAUCAUUAGCUAGAGGUCAUCCUGGACUACUAUGAUUUCAGAGACGAAAGGAAGGGCAUCUUGUCGUGUUCAAAAAUGAGCUCUCAAGAAGUCUUGCUUGCCAUUCGUGUUCCUGUUCUGGCCGUGGGUUCCAGAAGUCAAGAAGAACUUGUUUCCUUCAUCCAUCCAGGCAAAGGAAAACGUAGCUCACCACUUCGUCCAUUCGUCCAUCCGACGUUCUCUUGAUUUAAUAGCGAGGAAUUACCAUAAACGAGCCACAUCGCCUGGAAACGCUCGCACCGAAAACCAACUGCGAAAACGAAAGAUGGGAGGAUAAUCAACACCACUUGACGCUUUGACGACCGACCCUUUUAGUUUUUUCCCUCCGGAGUGACCGGUUUACCGAAAUGAUCCCAAGGAAGAUGAGCAAACCCGUAAAUGGACGAGUCAACCUUGAUCCCUCGGAAAUGCAUGGUUUAUGUACAGUACGUGUACUACCCAACGAUCUUUGGACACCCAUACGAGUUGAUCUCGCCUCCAGGUCAAUUCGUGGUCAAUGUGCUUGAUCUUCCUUGGGAUUUGAGAAUGUCUGGACCAUCUCCGCCCUCCUCAUGACUACCGACCCCUACAAUUUAGGCAAGGUCAAGGAAGGAUUCCAUUAUUCAAUCGGCAAAUCUGCCUAUUCUAAUCCCACAUUUACCACAAGGGGAGAGGUUUACGUUGCUUUGAAUUAGAAAACCAAUCCGAAUCUGUCUUUGGGGACGUGGAUUGAUUUGUUAAGUAGACAGAACGCCAUUCAUAUCGUCGAAGGUGGCAUUUUCUCCGGGACAUCCUGACCUGC